AUGCGUGGAGGCGACGGCGGCAGCCGGUGGGUACAAGACCGGAUCGAUAGGUACGGGCCCGUGUCGAAGCUGUCGCUGUUCGGCACGCCGACGGUGCUCCUGGCCGGACCAGCGGCGAACAAGUUCCUGUUCUUCAGCAGCGCGCUUUCGACACGGCAGCCACGGUCCGUGCAGCGGAUACUCGGCGAGAACAGCAUCCUGGACCUCCACGGCGCCGACCACCGGCGCGUCCGCGGCGCUCUGCUCGAGUUCCUCAGGCCGGACAUGCUCAAGAUGUACGUGGGCAGGAUCGACGCCGAGGUGCGGCGCCAUGUCGAGGAGAACUGGGCCGGCCGCGGGACGGUGACGGUGCUGCCGCUGAUGAAGCGGCUGACGUUCGACAUCAUCUCCGCGCUGCUCUUCGGCCUGCAGAGGGGCGCUGUGCGGGACGCGCUGGCCGGCGACUUCGCGCACAUGAUGAAGGGCAUGUGGGCUAUCCCGGCGAACCUGCCGUUCACGGCGUUCAGCCGGAGCCUCAAGGCCAGCGGCAGAGCCCGUCGGGUGCUGGCGGGGAUCACGCGGGAGAAGAAGGCCGGCCGGCGCCAGCCGGAGCACGGCAAGGCGCCCCGGAGCAACGACCUCAUAACCUGCCUGCUCGGCCUGACGGACAGCCAUGGCGAGCGGCUGCUGAGCGACGAGGAGAUCGUGGACAACGCCAUGGUCGCCCUCAUCGCCGGCCACGACACGUCGUCCAUCCUCAUGACGUUCAUGGUCCGCCACCUCGCCAACGAUGAUGCCACGCUCGCUGCCAUGGUCCAAGAGCAUGAAGAGAUCGCCAUGAACAAAGCCGAGGGAGAGGCUCUCACCUGGGAAGAUCUGACGAAGAUGAAGUUCACAUGGCGAGUCGCGCAGGAGAUCCUUCGCAUCGUCCCUCCGAUCUUCGGCAACUUCAGAAGAGCGCUGGAGGACGUCGAGUUCGACGGCUACCUAAUCCCAAAAGGAUGGCAGGUGUUCUGGACGGCGAACGUGACGCACAUGGACGCGAGCAUCUUCCACGAGCCGGCCAAGUUCGACCCGUCCCGGUUCGAGAACCAGGCCGCGUCGGCGGCGGCGCCGUGCUCCUUCGUCGCCUUCGGGGGCGGCCCGAGGAUAUGCCCCGGCAUAGAGUUCUCUCGGAUCGAGACGCUGGUGACGAUGCACCACCUUGUGAGGCACUUCAGAUGGAAGCUAUGCUGCAAGGAGAACACCUUCGUGAGGGACCCCAUGCCGUCGCCGCUGCGUGGCCUACCCAUCCAAAUCGAGCAGAGGACCUCCGCUCCACCGUGA
rnacentral:rRNA from 1 species